rnacentral:rRNA from 1 species
AUUGAACGCUGGCGGCAGGCUUAACACAUGCAAGUCGAGCGGAGACUUCGGUCUUAGCGGCGAACGGGUGAGGAAUGCCUGGGAAUCUGCCUGUUAGUGGGGGAUAACGUUCCGAAAGGAGCGCUAAUACCGCAUACGUCCUACGGGAGAAAGCAGGGGACCUUCGGGCCUUGCGCUAACAGAUGAGCCCAGGUCGGAUUAGCUAGUUGGUGGGGUAAAGGCUCACCAAGGCGACGAUCCGUAGCUGGUCUGAGAGGAUGAUCAGCCACACUGGAACUGAGACACGGUCCAGACUCCUACGGGAGGCAGCAGUGGGGAAUAUUGGACAAUGGGCGAAAGCCUGAUCCAGCCAUGCCGCGUGUGUGAAGAAGGCCUUCGGGUUGGUUAAAGGAC